rnacentral:rRNA from 1 species
CCUACGGGAGGCAGCAGUGGGGAAUAUUGGACAAUGGGCGAAAGCCUGAUCCAGCCAUGCCGCGUGUGUGAAGAAGGCCUUCGGGUUGUAAAGCACUUUCAGUGGGGAAGAAAGCCUUGGGGCUAAUACCCUCGAGGAAGGACAUCACCCACAGAAGAAGCACCGGCUAACUCCGUGCCAGCAGCCGCGGUAAUACGGAGGGUGCGAGCGUUAAUCGGAAUUACUGGGCGUAAAGCGCGCGUAGGCGGUCUGAUAAGCCGGUUGUGAAAGCCCCGGGCUCAACCUGGGAACGGCAUCCGGAACUGUCAGGCUAGAGUGCAGGAGAGGAAGGUAGAAUUCCCGGUGUAGCGGUGAAAUGCGUAGAGAUCGGGAGGAAUACCAGUGGCGAAGGCGGCCUUCUGGACUGACACUGGCGCUGGGGUGCGAAAGCGUGGGUAGCAAACAGGAUUAGAUACCCCUGUAGUC